UCCAUCGGCCCACCAAGGCGGGCUUUUGCGGGUUUUUUGACGUGCCGGGCCGGGCCAAAAGCCCUGCUGGCCGGCGGGCCUCCAUCGGCCCACUUGAUCCGCGGGCUUUUUGAUGAGGCCUAAGUGAAUUAACAUAAGUUCAUUAACUUUCCAGUGGACGAGGGAGACCAAGUUCCCUCAUCAUGCUGUCUGGGCUGCAAGUCGCGGUCUCAUUGCCCUUCUGUUGCCAAACAUUGAUGUUGUAGACAUUAUAUGGCUGGAGCCAUUGUCUUGGUAGGUUUGCCUCCUUCUCUAUAUUGUCAUCCUACACUACUAGAAAAAAGGGAUUUAAGGACAUCAAACAAGGACACAUAUUUUAUGUGGAGUCCUUGAAGGUUUUUAAGGACACACAAUGUUAAAUUGCAAAUUUUGAAUGGGUGGAGAGUCUUUCAAGGACACCCGGUUUAGGGGAUGCCGUGUCCUAAUAUUGGGCUCCAACUGAAAAAUUAAAAUAUUGAAAUUAGAAAACGCACGGCGCUUGCAUUUUCGUUUCCCUCCCCCAAUUUCACUUCCCUCCUCCCCCAAUUUUCGAUUUCCCUCUUCAAUUGAAACCCUCCCCAAAGGCCCAAAUAGAGAAAGAUGAUUCACUCACUCUAUUUCCAGUUCUUAGUUGUGAUAGAAAAAAAAUGAAAGAAACUCGAGCCGAAAGCAGAUUCGAUCUGAUUUGACUCGGCGGAGGAGACAACGACGACUCAUAACAAGGGUUCAAGUCAUAGUGAGGUUACUCGGUGUGAGACAUACUCUGGGUUGACAGAUUCUGGGAAGAAUUUCAGUACAAGGAGUGAAUUUUAAUCCCAGCAGCAAAGAGUAUACGUAUGGAGUAGCGAUCAGAUUUUGGUCAUGUAUACGCCGAAUAAUUCAAAGCCUGAGAAUCUGAGAUGGUUGAAGCUGAAGACGAAGGGCCUGGUGUAAGACCUCUCGGAUCUCUGUUGAAGCUCACUGAAGUCUUCCUCUGGGACGAUGGCAAAAGAAAUUACUGGUUGUUUUCUCUGGGACAGACUAAAGCAGUUGAGGAUGACGGAGACAAUGGCUUAAACGCCCUUUCCUCAG